rnacentral:rRNA from 1 species
UACAGAGGGGGCAAGCGUUAUUCGGAAUUAUUGGGCGUAAAGGGCGCGUAGGCGGCCUGGCAAGUGGAAGGUGAAAUCCCUCGGCUUAACCGAGGAACUGCCCUCCAAACUGCUUGGCUUGAGUCCGGGAGAGGUGAGUGGAAUUCCCAGUGUAGCGGUGAAAUGCGUAGAUAUUGGGAGGAACACCAGUGGCGAAGGCGACUUCCUGGACCAAUACUGACGCUCAUGUGCGAAAGCGUGGGGAGCAAACAGG